AUGUACCACUCGUAUCACUGCGGUUCUGAGCACGCCAUCCACGCCCACCUGACGACUGCUCGCUACGUUUUGUUGGCC
rnacentral:sRNA from 1 species